AUUGAACGCUGGCGGCAUGCUUUACACAUGCAAGUCGAGCGGCAGUGCGGGGGCAACCCUGGCGGCGAGCGGCGAACGGGUGAGUAACGCAUCGGAACGUAUCCUGUAGUGGGGAAUAACUCAUCGAAAGGUGAGCUAAUACCGCAUAAGCUCUGAGGAGGAAAGCGGGGGACCGAAAGGCCUCGCGCUGCAGGAGCGGCCGAUGUCCGAUUAGCUAGUUGGUGAGGUAAAGGCUCACCAAGGCGACGAUCGGUAGCUGGUCUGAGAGGAUGAUCAGCCACACUGGGACUGAGACACGGCCCAGACUCCUACGGGAGGCAGCAGUGGGGAAUUUUGGACAAUGGGGGAAACCCUGAUCCAGCCAUGCCGCGUGAGUGAAGAAGGCCUCGGUUGUAAAGCUUUUUCGGUACGGAACGAAAUUAGCUUGGACGUAAUACUCUGAGUAGAUGAC
rnacentral:rRNA from 1 species